GACGAACGGCGGAUGGAGAGAUUGGAGAGACUUCCAAACCACUUGAGACCUGGGGAGAGAGCGCAAGAUUUCCUUACUGUAUCCACUGUUGCCAUGGCUCAUUUGAUAUCCUGAUACAUUGGUGUUCUAUGGUUGCAGUUGUAAAUGAGAACUUGUUCUCAACUGGCCUACCUGAUUAUUAAACAAAGGAAAUGGCUUCCUGAAAUCCCUCAAGCAGCUGAUUGGUCGACUCCAUGGCUAAUUGGAGAGCUGACCCCGCCCCCUCGUCAAGACGCAUCUGUCUCCAAUUACCUAUUCCUUCUGAAGCUAUAUAAAAGCCAGUGUUCUGUUCAGGAGAGGGAGCCAUUGCAGAGGGAGCCAUUGCAGAGGGAUUGAAUGUGAGGGAGGUCAUUGCUGAGAGAGGAGGCUGAUGGCUGUGGAUAAUUUACUAUGUUAGUUG